rnacentral:rRNA from 1 species
GAUGAACGCUGGCGGCGUGCCUAACACAUGCAAGUCGAGCGAUUUACUUAGGUGAAGAGCGGCGGACGGGUGAGUAACGCGUGGGUAACCUGCCCUGUACACACGGAUAACAUACCGAAAGGUAUGCUAAUACGGGAUAAUAUGCUUUAGUCGCAUGGCUGAAGUAUCAAAGCUCCGGCGGUACAGGAUGGACCAGCGUCUGAUUAGCUAGUUGGUAAGGUAACGGCUUACCAAGGCGACGAUCAGUAGCCGACCUGAGAGGGUGAUCGGCCACAUUGGAACUGAGACACGGUCCAAACUCCUACGGGAGGCAGCAGUGGGGAAUAUUGCACAAUGGGCGAAAGCCUGAUGCAGCAACGCCGCGUGAGCGAUGAAGGCCUUCGGGUCGUAAAGCUCUGUCCUCAAGGAAGAUAAUGACGGUACUUGAGGAGGAAGCCCCGGCUAACUACGUGCCAGCAGCCGCGGUAA